rnacentral:rRNA from 1 species
AGUGGCGAACGGGUGAGUAAUACGUAGGAAUCUACCCUUAAGACGGGGACAACUCAGGGAAACUUGGGCUAAUACCGGAUGCGAGUGUAUGAGAGUACAUUUAAAAGGAUGGUGAAAGCUAUCGCUUAGGGAUGAGCCUGCGGUCUAUUAGCUAGUUGGUGGGGUAAGAGCUCACCGAGGCGAUGAUAGAUAGGCGGCCUUAACGGGUGGUCGCCCACACUGGGAUUGAGAUACGGCCCAGACUCCUACGGGAGGCAGCAGUCGAGAAUAGUCUACAAUGGCCGGAAGGCUGAUAGUGCGACGCCGCGUGAACGAGGGAGCCCUUCGGGGUGUAAAGUUCUUUUCUAUACGAGCAGUGCUAUAUAUAUUCAAAGUAUAUAUAGAGGGAUAGUAGUAUAGGAAUGAGCAACGGCUAACUCCGUGCCAGCAGCCGCGGUAACACGGGGGUUGCGAGCGUUGUCCGGAAUUACUAGGCGUAAAGGGCAGGUAGGCGGAUCUACGAGUUUUUUGUUAAAGGCUACGGCUUAACUGUAGUAAGGCAGGAGAUACUGUAGGUCUGGAAUGCGGUAGAGGAAGACAGAAUUCCUGGUGUAGCGGUGGAAUGCGCAGAGAUCAGGAGGAAUACCGAAGGCGAAGGCAGUCUUCUAGGCCGUAAUUGACGCUUAACUGCGAAGGUGUGGGGAUCAAACAGGAUUAGAUACCCUGGUAGUCCACACAGUAAACGAUAAUCACUAGAUGUCGGAUUCUAGAUGGAUUCGGUGUCGGAGCUAACGCGAUAAGUGAAUUCGCCUGGGGAGUACGAUCGCAAGGCUGAAACUCAAAGGAAUUGACGGGGGCCCGCACAAGCGGUGGAGCAUGUGGUUUAAUUCGAGGCAACGCGAAGAACCUUACCCGGUCUUGACAUCCGCGGGAGGCUUCAGAGAUGGAGCUGUGCCGGCGUAAGUUGGAGCCGUGAGACAGGUGCUGCAUGGCUGUCGUCAGCUCGUGUCGUGAGAUGUUGGGUUAAGUCCCGCAACGAGCGCAACCCCUGCCUUCAGUUACCAUCAUUAAGUUGGGGACUCUGGAGGGACCGCUGCGGUAACAACGCAGAGGAAGAUGGGGACGACGUCAAGUCAUCAUGGUCCUUAUGGCCGGGGCUACACACGUGCUACAAUGGCAGUUACAGAGGGAAGCAAGACAGUAAUGUGGAGCGAAACUCAGAAAAGUGUCGCAGUUCGGAUUGAGGUCUGCAACUCGGCCUCAUGAAGUUGGAAUCGCUAGUAAUCGCGCAACAUCAUGGCGCGGUGAAUACGUUCCCGGGCC